rnacentral:snoRNA from 1 species
GUUUGUAUAUGAUGAGAAUAUCUUUUUUUACAGUUAUCCCUGUCUAAAAAAUAGUGUUGAGACCGGUAAAUCUGAACACGC